rnacentral:snRNA from 1 species
GGAUAUGAGGGUGAUCUGGCUGUGGCAUCAGUCCCCCAUUGAUUACCAGGAUUGAUUUGGCCGAUCCGGCUGGCUAGGUAAGUGUGCCCUUCCUCCCUCACUGCUCUAAGUGCAUCCCUCCUGAAGCUGCACCCUCAGUCGAAGAGGACAACCUUCCCUGAUGGAGGACCAUUCUUCAGUCAAGGGCAUAGGAGGAGUACAUAGUCUAAAAUAAACAUAAACAGCAAGUAAUAAGUCAUUAGCAAAAAAAAAACCAAAAUGAGAAAUGUGCAUUAAAAUGACGUAUACCAU